GCGCCCGUAGCUCAGUUGGAUAGAGUACCGGACUUCGAAUCCGUGGGUCGCAGGUUCGAAUCCUGUCGGGCGUA
rnacentral:tRNA from 1 species